CAUGACUGUGGUUCGAUCACACUUGGGAGCAAAGGUGGCAGUAGCGAGGUGCCCUGCUACCAGGGCAGAGGGCUGCCCUUCCUAAGACAAGAAGCACCACCAGUCCCUGUUGCAAAGUAUCAUGGAGAGGGGAUCCUGGAAAAUGUUGAAGAGGGGGAGAAGGAUUCAUCAGCACAGGCAGACACAUUUUUGCAGAGGCAGAUGACCAGUUCUCCACAAAGCGUCCAGAGCUUUCAUGAAAUUCCUCUGUGAGAAAAGAAUUUCAGGCUGUAAUGGAGGAGUCAGAUCUCUACUGGUUCCAGCCUUCUCAUUGACUCAAUGCUUAUGGAGCAUGCAUAUAAUGGUUUUUCCCCUGAGAAAUCAAACUUAUCCUAAAAUGCCAUGGAAUUAAAGGGAUGAAUUCCCCUCCUGCUUACCUCUGCCAGAACACCCCUCAU